rnacentral:rRNA from 1 species
GAUGAACGCUGGCGGCGUGCCUAAUACAUGCAAGUCGAACGAAACUUCUUUAUCACCGAGUGCUUGCACUCACCGAUAAAGAGUUGAGUGGCGAACGGGUGAGUAACACGUGGGCAACCUGCCCAAAAGAGGGGGAUAACACUUGGAAACAGGUGCUAAUACCGCAUAACCAUAGUUACCGCAUGGUAACUAUGUAAAAGGUGGCUAUACUACCGCUUUUGGAUGGGCCCGCGGCGCAUUAGCUAGUUGGUAGGGUAAAGGCUUACCAAGGCAAUGAUGCGUAGCCGAAUUGAGAGGUUGAUCGGCCACAUUGGGACUGAGACACGGCCCAAACUCCUACGGGAGGCAGCAGUAGGGAAUCUUCCACAAUGGGCGAAAGCCUGAUGGAGCAACGCCGCGUGGGUGAAGAAGGUCUUCGGAUCGUAAAACCCUGUUGUUAGAGAAGAAAGUGCGUGAGAGUAACUGUUCACGUUUCGACGGGAUCUAACCAGAAAGCCACGGCUAACUACGU